AUUGAACGCUGGCGGCAGGCCUAACACAUGCAAGUCGAACGAGUGGCGGACGGGUGAGUAAUGUCUGGGAAACUGCCUGAUGGAGGGGGAUAACUACUGGAAACGGUAGCUAAUACCGCAUACCAUCGGAUGUGCCCAGAUGGGAUUAGCUAGUAGGUGGGGUAAAGGCUCACCUAGGCGACGAUCCCUAGCUGGUCUGAGAGGAUGACCAGCCACACUGGAACUGAGACACGGGCCAGACUCCUAAGGGAGGCAGCAGUGGGGAAUAUUGCACAAUGGGCGCAAGCCGGAUGCAACACUGCCGCGUGUGCGAUGAAGGCCUGCGGGUUUUAAAGCACUUUUGGCAAGAAAGCGUUACUUGCAGAAUAAGCACCGGCUAACUACGUGCCAGCAGCCGCGGUAAUAC
rnacentral:rRNA from 1 species